rnacentral:rRNA from 1 species
UACAUAGAGGGCAAGCGUUGUCCGGAAUCAUUGGGCGUAAAGAGCGUGUAGGCGGUUAGGUAGGUCAGUUGUGAAAACUGGAGGCUCAACCUUCAGACGUCGACUGAAACCCCCUGGCUAGAGUCCGGGAGAGGAGAGUGGAAUUCCUGGUGUAGCGGUGGAAUGCGCAGAUAUCAGGAAGAACACCCGUGGCGAAAGCGGCUCUCUGGAACGGUACUGACGCUGAGACGCGAAAGCGUGGGGAGCGAACAGG